UACGUAGGGGGCAAGCGUUGUCCGGAUUUAUUGGGCGUAAAAGGCUUGUAGGUGCCACGCCAAGUCGGAUGUGAAAUCUCCCGGCUCAACUGGGAGGGUCAUUCGAUACUGGUGGGCUCGAGGCCGGUAGGGGGAAGUGGAAUUCCCGGUGUAGCGGUGGAAUGCGUAGAGAUCGGGAAGAACAUCGGUGGCGAAGGCGGUCUGCUGGGCCGUUGCUGACGCUGAGGCGCGA
rnacentral:rRNA from 1 species